GCGGAAGUGGUGGAAUUGGUAGACACGCUAUCUUGAGGGGGUAGUGCCCUUUCGGGCGUGGGGGUUCGAGUCCCCCCUUCCGCA
rnacentral:tRNA from 1 species